ensembl:lncRNA
AAGAGAGAGAGAGAGAGAGAGAGAGAGGUAGCAAGAAGAAGAGAGAGAGAGGUAGCAAGAGGAAGAGAGAGAGAGGUAGCAAGAGGAAGAGAGAGAGAGAGAGAGAGGUAGCAAGAAGAAGAGAGAGAGAGGUAGCAAGAGGAAGAGAGAGAGAGGUAGCAAGAGGAAGAGAGAGAGAGAGGUAGCAAGAAGAAGAGAGAGAGAGGUAGCAAGAGGAAGAGAGAGAGAGGUAGCAAGAGGAAGAGAGAGAGAGAGAGAGGUAGCAAGAGGAAGAGAGAGAGAGAGGUAGCAAGAGGAAGAGAGAGAGAGAGAGGUAGCAAGAAGAAGAGAGAGAG